CAUAUAAAAAAAAAAUUAUUGUAGUUUAAAAAUUUUAUUAUAAAUUUAUUUUACAUAUAAAUUUUAGUGUUAUUUUUAAUUUAUUUUAAUAAUAAUUUAUUUAUAUAUGUAGUAAUUAAUAUUAAAUUAUUUAAGAAAUUAAGAUUUAGUAAUAUUUAAAUUAAUAACAAAUUUUGUGCCAGCAGUUGCGGUUAUACAAAAAUUAAAUUAAAUUUUAUUAGGUAUUAAUAAGUAAUUUAAAAUUUUAAUUAAAAUUUUAAAUUAUUAGGUGAAAUUUUAAUUUAAAAAAAAAUUAUUUAUAUAAUUAUUAUUUAAUAAAUUUUAUAAAAAACUAGGAUUAGAUACCCUAUUAUUAAAAUUUAAAUUUAUAAUACUAAAAUAGUAAAUAAUUAUUUAUUGAAACUUAAAUAAUUUGGCGGUAUUUUAGUUCAUUUAGAGGAAUCUGUUUAAUAAUUGAUAAUCCACGAAUAAAUUUACUUAAUUUAAAAUUUUGUAUAUCGUUGUUAAAAAAAUAUUUUUUUAUAAAAUUAAUAUUUUAAAAUUUUUAAUUUAAAUUAAAUCAGAUCAAGAUGCAGAUUAUAAUUAAGAAUAUAAUGGAUUACAAUAAAUUUAUUUAAAUGAAUAUUAUACUUGUAAAAGUUAAUUGAAGGUGGAUUUAAAUGUAAUUUUAUUUAAUUUAAUAAAAUGAUUUUAAAUUGAAAUAUGUACAUAUUGCCCGUCGCUUUCAUAUAUUAAUAAGUUGGAAUAAGUCGUAACAAAGUAGAGGUACUGGAAAGUGUUUCUAGAAAGAA
rnacentral:ncRNA from 1 species